rnacentral:rRNA from 1 species
UACGUAGGGUGCAAGCGUUAAUCGGAAUUACUGGGCGUAAAGCGUGCGCAGGCGGUUAUGUAAGACAGUUGUGAAAUCCCCGGGCUCAACCUGGGAAUUGCAUCUGUGACUGCAUAGCUAGAGUACGGUAGAGGGGGGAUGGAAUUCCGCGUGUAGCAGUGAAAUGCGUAGAUAUGCGGAGGAACACCGAUGGCGAAGGCAAUCCCCCUGGACCUGUACUGACGCUCAUGCACGAAAAGCGUGGGGAGCAAACGAGG